CAAUAGCGUAUAUUAAAGUUGUUGCGGUUAAAAAGCUCGUAGUUGGAUUUCUGUUGAGGACGGCCGGUCCGCACUAUGUGCGUGUAUCUGGUUCGGCCUCGGCAUCCUCUCGAAAGCCGUAUCUGCGCUUGACUGCGUGGUUCGGACUUCGGGACUUUUACUUUGAGGAAAUUAGAGUGUUCACGGCAGGCAAGCGCCUUGAAUAUAUUAGCAUGGAAUAAUAAUCUAGGAUCUUGGUCCUAUUUUGUUGGUUUCUAGGGCUAAGAUAAUGAUUAAUAGGGACAAUUGGGGGCAUUCGUAUUAACGCGUCAGAGGUGGAAUUCUUGGAUUUCGUCACGACGAACUACUGCGAAAGCAUUUGCCAAGGAUGUUUUCAUUGA
rnacentral:rRNA from 1 species